AUUGAACGCUGGCGGCAGGCCUAACACAUGCAAGUCGAGCGGAUGAAGGGAGCUUGCUCCUGGAUUCAGCGGCGGACGGGUGAGUAAUGCCUAGGAAUCUGCCUGGUAGUGGGGGAUAACGUCCGGAAACGGGCGCUAGUACCGCAUACGUCCUGAGGGAGAAAGUGGGGGAUCUUCGGACCUCACGCUAUCAGAUGAGCCUAGGUCGGAUUAGCUAGUUGGUGGGGUAAAGGCCUACCAAGGCGACGAUCCGUAACUGGUCUGAGAGGAUGAUCAGUCACACUGGAACUGAGACACGGUCCAGACUCCUACGGGAGGCAGCAGUGGGGAGUAUUGGACAAAGGGCGAAAGCCUGAUCCAGCCAUGCCGCGUGUGUGAAGAAGGUCUUCGGAUUGUAAAGCACUUUAAGUUGGGAGGAAGGGCAGUAAGUUAAUACCUUGCUGUUUUGACGUUACCAACAGAAUAAGCACCGGCUAACUUCGUG
rnacentral:rRNA from 1 species